rnacentral:rRNA from 1 species
UACGUAGGGUGCGAGCGUUGUCCGGAAUUAUUGGGCGUAAAGGGCUCGUAGGCGGUUUGUCGCGUCGGGAGUGAAAACACCGGGCUUAACUCGGUGCUUGCUUUCGAUACGGGCAGACUAGAGGUAUUCAGGGGAGAACGGAAUUCCUGGUGUAGCGGUGAAAUGCGCAGAUAUCAGGAGGAACACCCAUGGCGAAGGCAGCUAACUGGGCAUUAUCUGACGCUGAGGCGCGAAAGCGUGGGGAGCGAACAGG